rnacentral:rRNA from 1 species
GAUGAACGCUGGCGGCGUGCCUAAUACAUGCAAGUCGAGCGAACAGAUGAGGAGCUUGCUCCUCUGACGUUAGCGGCGGACGGGUGAGUAACACGUGGAUAACCUACCUAUAAGACUGGGAUAACUUCGGGAAACCGGAGCUAAUACCGGAUAAUAUAUUGAACCGCAUGGUUCAAUAGUGAAAGACGGUUUUGCUGUCACUUAUAGAUGGAUCCGCGUCGGAUUAGCUAGUUGGUAAGGUAACGGCUUACCAAGGCAACGAUGCGUAGCCGACCUGAGAGGGUGAUCGGCCACACUGGAACUGAGACACGGUCCAGACUCCUACGGGAGGCAGCAGUAGGGAAUCUUCGGCAAUGGGCGAAAGCCUGACGGAGCAACGCCGCGUGGGUGAUGAAGGUCUUCGGAUCGUAAAGCUCUGUUAUUAGGGAAGAAAAGAUGUGUAAGUAACUAUGCACGUCUUGACGGUACCUAAUCAGAAAGCCACGGCUAACUACGUG